rnacentral:rRNA from 1 species
UACGUAGGCAGCAAGCGUUGUUCGGAAUUACUGGGCGUAAAGAGUGUGUAGGCGGUGCUCUAAGUCUGUUGUGAAAUCUCCCGGCUUAACUGGGAGGGGGCGGCGGAGACUGGAGUGCUAGAGUGUGGGAGAGGUAAGCGGAAUUCCUGGUGUAGCGGUGAAAUGCGUAGAUAUCAGGAGGAACACCUGUGGUGUAGACAGCUUACUGGACCACGACUGACGCUGAGACACGAAAGCGUGGGUAGCAAACAGG